UGCAGUCGAACGAUGAAGCCGGGUGCUUGCACCGGGUGGAUUAGUGGCGAACGGGUGAGUAUCACGUGAGUAACCUGCCCUUGACUCUGGGAUAAGCCUGGGAAACUGGGUCUAAUACCGGAUAUGACCAGUCCUCGCAUGGGGUGCUGGUGGAAAGAUUUAUCGGUCUUGGAUGGACUCGCGGCCUAUCAGUUUGUUGGUGAGGUAAUGGCUCACCAAGGCGAUGACGGGUAGCCGGCCUGAGAGGGUGACCGGCCACACUGGGACUGAGACACGGCCCAGACUCCUACGGGAGGCAGCAGUGGGGAAUAUUGCACAAUGGGCGCAAGCCUGAUGCAGCGACGCCGCGUGCGGGAUGACGGCCUUCGGGUUGUAAACCGCUUUCAGCAGGGAAGAAGCUUUUUGUGACGGUACCUGCAGAAGAAGCGCCGGCUAACUACGUGCCAGCAGCCGCGGUAAUACGUAGGGCGCGAGCGUUAUCCGGAAUUAUUGGGCGUAAAGGGCUCGCAGGCGGUUUGCCACGUCUGCUGUGAAAGCCCGGGGCUUAACUCCGGGUGUGCAGUGGGUACGGGUAGACUAGAGUGCAGUAGGGGAGACUGGAAUUCCUGGUGUAGCGGUGAAAUGCGCAGAUAUCAGGAAGAACACCGAUGGCGAAGGCAGGUCUCUGGGCUGUUACUGACGCUGAGGAGCGAAAGCAUGGGGAGCGAACAGGAUUAGAUACCCUGGUAGUCCAUGCCGUAAACGUUGGGCACUAGGUGUGGGGGACAUUCCACGUUUUCCGCGCCGUAGCUAACGCAUUAAGUGCCCCGCCUGGGGAGUACGGCCGCAAGGCUAAAACUCAAAGGAAUUGACGGGGGCCCGCACAAGCGGCGGAGCAUGCGGAUUAAUUCGAUGCAACGCGAGAACCUUACCAAGCUUGACAUGGACCGGAUCGCUGCAGAGAUGUAGUUUCCCUUCGGGGCUGGUUCACAGGUGGUGCAUGGUGUCGUCAGCUCGUGUCGUGAGAUGUUGGGUAGUCCCGCACGAGCGCACCCUGUCCUAUGUUGCAGCACGUG
rnacentral:rRNA from 1 species